GUUCCGUGUGUGGGCUUGAGCGGUAAUUGAAUGGGCCGUCCGGUACCUUCGACAGCACACAGUUGACCUAACUUUAGGAGCUCUCGCAGAUUCCGGCGGCGACGGCGGCAGCAGCGACCAGCAUGGCAGCCAUCCACUUUCCUUGAGGAGGUCGGUGAGUGUUUGGUGCCCGCCCCGGUGGUGGCGGAGCCCAUAGCGGUCGGUACGGUAGUGGAGCUUGAGGUGGCGUCGCAAAAGAUGCUGGAUCAGGCGCAACCGGAGCCGGAUGGUCCGGCUUACACAGCGAAGGCACAAAUCUUGUCGGGCAGUGAAGCGGCGGCGGAGAGGAAAGACAGUUCUCCACCCAGUUCGGAGCUGUCAACUGGGAAGAUGAACCCCCGAGCGCCUGGAUGGAAUAAGAGGUUGAGGACCGUUGCUGCAACUCCAAGCCGCCCACCUUGCCCAAACCGCACCAGUGCAUUUGAGAAGGCCGUUCGUAGCUAUGCCGAAAACCCAACUGAGAAUGUAAUAACCCCAACUGUCGGCACAUCAUUCGACUCGGUUGGGGAGGCAUACGACUUUUACAAUUUGUAUUCAUGGGAAAAGGGCUUUGGUAUUCGAUACAGUAAGAGCCGACUGAAUGUUGAGAGGACGAAGUGCAUGCAGGAAAUAGUCUGUGGUUGCUCGGGGAAAGCUGGUGUGGAGAACACAAGGUCAUGUCGUUGCGAAUGCCCUGCUCUGAUAAUGGCUGGACCAAUGCAUCAGAGGCAAGUGGCGAAUGCAACGACUGCUGUGUCGAGGCAUAAUGCCAUUGAUGCAGGUCCCCCGGGCUUCGGGCGUAGCACGGCCACAUCUGUUGGUGUGCAACAGACAGAAGGAGAUGAAAAUGAAAUGGGGAAUAUCUUGCAAGAGAUCACAGAAAUGCAAGCUACUGCUGUAGAUGGGGGGAGAAGACAUGUAAUUUCAUCGUGCAAAAAUAUAACGAUUGGCAUGGAGUGUGCUAGAGCCAGGAAUGUCACUGUGAAACAUGAGAAUGAUGAGGAUAGCUGUAGACAGCCUCGUGUGCUAGAGCCAGGAAUGUCACUGUGAAACAUGAGAAUGAUGAGGAUAGCUGUAGACAGCCUCGUGUGCUAGACAUUGACGGGGAGUGUGCGAGGAAGCUCCAGAAAGAGCUGGACGAGGAAUGUAAGUAACUUAUUUUUUUCCAAGACUGAAGAUAUAUUUGUGUUGUACAUAGCGUAGUCCAAAAACAAAUAGAGGUUAAAUUAACGACUAGGCAAUGGAGCAGUUGGCAAAUGAUGAUCAGGUUGCAUGUAUGUAUCAGAAGAUGCAUGACCAGAAUGCCACUGACGAGCAAAUCAGGGUGGCGACCACACAUCAUGGUCAGGGAACAGGGGCAGGUGGUCAUAGAGCAUCAGACGUGGGAGUUCAGACGAGGUUGGACGAUUUUUUCCACUGUCGGACUGGUCUGGGCAGACAAUGAACCACUGAAGGACGGAGAUGUGUCAUUCGGAAGAAACGUAAGUGCAGCAAGAAAUCAAGAAAGGGGAGGGCUAAACAACGAGGUUCUCAAAUAUUGUUCAGACGAUCUGUCCAACAGAAAGCUCUGAAUCAGAUGACAGCAGCACAGAUGACGGGAACAUUGCUUACUACAUAGAGUUGCCAACAUCGAGACGAAAUACUAUGCCAGUGAGGUGUGGGUGGGUGGCAGCAGAUGUGGGGCGAGUUGCUGCGCCUGCUGCAGAGGUCGCAAAUGUUUCCGUAGUCAAUAAUCCUGGUCAAUAAUAAUCCUGAACAUUCAACUGGUUACACUUACCAGAGGAAAACAAGUGAAUGUCCGAAUAACCUCAACAGCAUGCUUGACAGAUAUACGAGAUGUUGGUGCUGGACAGCAGCCUGUGGCAUCAUUCUCCGCUGAAUCAUCACUAUUUAUGUUGCUAGGAAUCUGUAGGUUGGCAUCGCCCGUAUCCCCUUCACAGCUAUCUUCAUCGGACAUGUUGGGUCUGCAACAUGAUCAGAGAAAUUAAACCUGAUAUACAGUCCCUAACCAAUGGAGUCACAUGAUGCAGUGCACGUACAUCUAAAAUGGAUUGAGACUGAUAGUAGAUGAUGGUUUUCAAUAACUGUACAGGUAAACCGGAAUCUCUAGUAUCGUAGUGACUGUAGAUGAUGGUUCUGGAAUCUGAAUCUAAUUAAACAUUGAAACCUAUAUUUUCUUAUACACUCAAGCUAGAAACUGAAUGUAGAGAUGUAUUGGCUGCAUCUGAAGCGUGAAUGAAGAAGUAAUUAUAAGUUAUGGACAUCCGUCUUGGUUUGAAAUGAUUUCUAUGGAGCGAACUAGGCAUAUGUGGCUGCCAAAUCUACCAACUCCUAAUGAGGAUCUGGCUGAUCCAACCGGUGAAUAAAAAGGGUAAACAUUAGAAGAGCGGCAUGGGCAGCACGGGACGCGGUGAUUACUGGAGAACCUCAAACACUCUGAGCAGUACGUUAAUUUACAUAUCCAUGCUGGCAUACAAAUGACCUGACAAAAUGCGUCGGGAUGGUCGAGUUGAACACAAAAGCGAGCAGUAGAAACUAGACCGGAGGCACAUAGUGGAAUAAUCAAACUAAAAAACAGUGGACUUAAGACUUAACUAGACGACUCCUCCAUACUACAUGGAUCAUUGACCACUAAAUUAGCUGCUUCAGCAUGGCGACGACGAGGAUGAAGUUGGUUCUGGCCAGGAGCAGCGCCGUACGCUGGCUGUCAGUGAAGCAGCAUUGAGGCGCCGCGCGGGCAACAGUGGACUGCUGCAGCGGUGGCUGGUUGCUUACAUGGGCAGGCUGAAUCUCCGCCUGUCCGCCGUUGUCGAAGUUGUGCUCUCGCCUUAGUCUCCGCUGGAGAGGACCAGACGGCGGGAUGGGUGGACGGCAAGGGAGUGAUGCAGCCUGCAGCACAUACGGCUGCAACAGGCCAUGACGAGUCAGCUCCGGCAGGUACGUCUUGGUGGAUCUCAUGAACUGGCAUAGCCCAGCCUGCGUGGAUCCUAAGUUCAGCACCGGAUUGGGAGUGGCAGAUCUAAAAGUGAUUGUUCAUCAUGGAAGACGGGCACUUACAUCUUUCCUGACGCACUUGUAGUACCGAGUUCCGCUGCGAGAGACGAAGGUGACCACCUUAAGCAUUUGGCGCAAGGAAUCAGUGGCAGCACUUCGUCUGGCUGUGAUGAUGAAGAAGAAGCAGCCAUGGUCGCCAAGGAGAGGAUAAGGGUGAGGAGCAGGGCGUAGAUGAAUCUUCGAGAGCAAGGGGUGGUGCUGGCGACGCAGUGCAGAAACAUUAAAAUAUCCCCGGAGGGCACCGUUUGGGAAGAUAACGGAUGAGCCGUGGACCACGACGCAAAGAUUCAUCUGAGCCGCCUCGCACGGGAUGACGGACGUUCGAAAUGAAUGCGGUAGGUAAGUGGGCCAUAGUCUGUGAAAAAGCAGACAUACUAUAGAGAAUACGGACUAAAAAACAAUCCCUGAUGCGAAUCUUAGCGCGAAAGAGCGGCUAUGAUAACAGGUGCAUCUAAGCUCGAGCUCAAAAUAGCACUUUGGUGAUGUACGCUCGCUUGCUCUGGCUUAGGCCCAUUAGCACACAAGGCCAAUCUUGUGCAAGGCCGCCGGCAGCGUAUAAAUAAGAAUCGGACGAGCGCUAGGGUUUUCCCCUGAAUUAUUUCCUCCCUCCCCGCGCCGCCGGCUCCGUCCGUUGUAGGAGAAGCAGCUUGCGCCGCCGCCUCCGUCGUCUCAGCAGAAGCAGCGAUCCCCAUCGCCAGCAGCCCAAGAAAGCAUGGAUACGCAGGUGAAGCUCGCGGUGGUGGUCAAGGUGAUGGGCCGCACGGGGUCGAGGGGUCAGGUAACCCAGGUCAGGGUCAAGUUCCUGGAUGACCAGAACCGUCUCAUCAUGAGGAACGUCAAGGGGCCCGUCCGUGAGGGCGACAUCCUCACCCUGCUCGAGUCCGAGCGGGAGGCCAGGAGGCUGCGCUAAGAAAUUUCUUCCUCUAUACCUGUCUGUCUUUGGAAGAAGAAUGAUGUACUGUUGCCUUCUUAGUCUACCGCUUUUGUUCUUUGCCUAGCCAUGUGGAGGUGUGAUGAGUUUUGUUCUGUUGCCUAAACUAAAGUGCACUUGAUGUUGUGAGACUUGAUCAUUGUUGCGCACCUCUUGGUAAUGUGAAUUGUGAAUCGUCUAUAUUGGAUCCUAUAUGAUUUGAAAUCAUCA